AAAAGUCGUAACAAGGUAACCGUAGGUGAACCUGCGGUUGGAUCAUUACAAAAUGAUUCCUUGGUGUUGAUUGCUCUGCAAGGAGCAGUCCGCCGGGAAAACAACCCUUUGUGCACUGUAUUGUUUUUUGGGUGGCCUUUAUGGUUGCCCAGCAUUAUUAAACCACUUAAUUUUUGACUGAAUUAUAUAUUAAAUUAUAAACAACUUUUGACAACGGAUCUCUUGGCUCUC
rnacentral:misc_RNA from 1 species